GAUGAACGCUGGCGGCGUGCCUAAUACAUGCAAGUCGAGCGAACAGACGAGGAGCUUGCUCCUCUGACGUUAGCGGCGGACGGGUGAGUAACACGUGGAUAACCUACCUAUAAGACUGGGAUAACUUCGGGAAACCGGAGCUAAUACCGGAUAAUAUAUUGAACCGCAUGGUUCAAUAGUGAAAGACGGUUUUGCUGUCACUUAUAGAUGGAUCCGCGCCGCAUUAGCUAGUUGGUAAGGUAACGGCUUACCAAGGCAACGAUGCGUAGCCGACCUGAGAGGGUGAUCGGCCACACUGGAACUGAGACACGGUCCAGACUCCUACGGGAGGCAGCAGUAGGGAAUCUUCCGCAAAGGGCGAAAGCUUGACGGAGCAACGCCGCGUGAGUGAUGAGGGUCUUCGGAUCGUAAAACUCUGUUAUUAGGGAAGAACAAAUGUGUAAGUAACUAUGCACGUCUUGACGGUACCUAAUCAGAAAGCCACGGCUAACUACGUG
rnacentral:rRNA from 1 species